UACGGGGGGAGCAAGCGUUGUUCGGAUUUACUGGGCGUAAAGGGCGCGUAGGCGGCCCGCUAAGUCGAACGUGAAAUCCCCAGGCUCAACCUGGGAACUGCGUCCGAUACUGGAUGGCUUGAAUUCGGGAGAGGGAUGCAGAAUUCCAGGUGUAGCGGUGAAAUGCGUAGAUAUCUGGAGGAAUACCGGUGGCGAAGGCGGCAUCCUGGACCGACAUUGACGCUGAUGAGCGAAAGCUAGGGGAGCAAACGGGAU
rnacentral:rRNA from 1 species